CCGAAAGGCAGGAGUGCCUGCAAGGGAGCGCGGAGACAGGUGGUGCAUGGCUGUCGUCAGCUCGUGUCGUGAGAUGUUGGGUUAAGUCCCGCAACGAGCGCAACCCUCACCUCUUGUUGCCAUCAGGUCAUGCUGGGCACUCUAGAGGAACUGCCCCGGUCAACGGGGAGGAAGGCGGGGAUGACGUCAAGUCAUCAAGCCCCUUACGUCCUGGGCUACACACGUGCUACAAUGGCCGGUACAAAGGGAUGCCACACCGCGAGGUAGAGCUAAACCCAAAAAGCCGGUCUAAGUUCGGAUUGGAGUCUGCAACUCGACUCCAUGAAGGAGGAAUCGCUAGUAAUCGCGUAUCAGCACGACGCGGUGAAUACGUUCCCGGGCCUUGUACACACCGCCCGUCACACCACGAAAGCCAGCUGUACUCGAAGUCG
rnacentral:rRNA from 1 species